rnacentral:lncRNA from 1 species
AAAAACAAGACAAUUCAGGAAAGGGACAAAAGAGGAAGGCUGCCUGUGAAAGGAGUAAGGAGUUUGAUAUUAUCCUGGAAUUGGGGAUGUUGCAAAGGAUUAAGGGCAUGCCAUGCUGAAAUUUAAACUUACUUCAUGAAGCUCUUCUAUAAGCUGAAGAUGCAGUAGGCCAGAGAUGACAACUGGCAGCCCAUGAUUGUUGGUUUUGGCCCAGGUUGGUUUUGUUUUGUUUUGCUUUUGGAGUUGUCAACAGAAGCACUUGGAGCCACUAGAAGUUAGUUUAAAAACCAUUUGGCAGUGCCUUUCAAAGGUAAACACUCUGUGACCCUAAUUCAACUCCUUGAAAUGUACUCAAUAAAUAUGCUUAUACCCUUUCACCACAAAACAUGAAGGUACCAUAUUCAUAGCUGAACUAUUUGUCAGAAGCCCAAACAGAGCAACCUAAAUACCUGUCAACAGAAAGAUGGAUAAACAAAUGGAACUCUAUUGGCAUUGAGAAUGAGCCAUCUGCAACCACACUCAACAACAUGGAUGCAUCUUACACAUACAGUAUAAGGAGAAAGACACCAGGUCUAAGAGUACAUACCAUGUGAACUAGUCUCUUAAGAGUCAGAGGGCUGGGGGCUGGGGAUGUGGCUCAAGCCAUAGCAUGCUCGCCUGGCAUGCGUGGGGUGCACUGGGUUCGAUCCUCACAACCACAUAAAAAUAAAAUAUGUUCUGUCCACCGAAAACUAAAAAAGUAAAAAAAAGAGGGCUGGGUUUGUGGCUCAAUGUAGAGCGCUUCCUAGCAUUUAUGAGGCACUGGGUUCUAUCCCCAACACCACAUUAAAAAGAACUAACAAAAGUAUUGUGUCCAUCUACAGCUAAAAAAAAAUAGAAGAGUCAGGGUAGAGAUUCUUGACUGGCAUGAGGUAGGGAGGUAGUGACUGGAGGAGAGAGCAAUAGAGAACUUUAGGAAGCAGGUCAUAGAUUUUGUUCUAUUCUUUUCUCCCCUCUAUUUCGCACACUGUUUGAAUGUUUCCUUUCUUCACUUAACAGAGGAGAGUGUUUCCUAUCAGUCCUUAAAAGACCCGUCCUUCUUUUUUGUUGACUGCAUUGCAUUCCAUUGUAGAGAUGUACUAUUGUUUAAAGCUUGUAGUAAAACACAUAUUAGCCAUCUUGCCAUCU